CCUACGGGCGACUGCAGUGAGGAAUAUUGGUCAAUGGGCGAAAGCCUGAACCAGCCAAGUCGCGUGAAGGAUGACGGCCCUACGGGUUGUAAACUUCUUUUGUCAGGGAGCAAUUGAGUCUACGUGUAGUAUUAGCGCGAGUAACUUAAGAAAAAGCAUCGGCAAACUUAGGGCCAGCAGCCGCGGUAAUACGGGGGAUGCGAGCGUUAUCCGGAUUUAAUGGGUUUAAAGGAUUCGUAGGCGGAAUAUCAAGUCAGCGGUAAAAAUUCGGGGCUCAACCCCGUCGUGACGUUGAAACUGAUGUUCUUGAGUGGGCGAGAGGUAUGCGGAAUUCGUGGUGUAGCGGUGAAAUGCAUAGAUAUCACGAAGAACUCCGAUUGCGAAGGCAGCAUACCGGCGCCCAACUGACGCUGAAGCACGAAAGCGUGGGUAUCGAACAGGAUUAGAUACCCUUGUAGUC
rnacentral:rRNA from 1 species